rnacentral:antisense_RNA from 1 species
CUCAUGUAGGAUGCCCAACAUCUGGAUGCACCCAGCAUGACUACUGGUGCUGAGCAGCCACCCACGAUGAAUUACCUCACAGGAUUGCUGGUCAAAGACACUCGGAGAGACUCCAAGCAUGUGACAAGUCUCUCAUCUGCAGACCCCAUUUUCAGCUCAUGAAUGAAUUCCUGUGAUUCACCAUCCAAUGGCAGGAAAUGAAUUGCGUAAGUUCAAAAGAAGAUCAGGUGAAGUGGUAGGAAAUCAGGUGUUUCUCACGUUUUUUGUUUUUAUUAAUUUACUAUAAUGUUAUUCAAGAAAACAUUCUCAAUAAAGCAAAACAAAUUAGCACUGUAAA